GAUGAACGCUGGCGGCGUGCCUAAUACAUGCAAGUCGAGCGAACAGAUGAGGAGCUUGCUCCUCUGACGUUAGCGGCGGACGGGUGAGUAACACGUGUAUAACCUACCUAUAAGACUGGUAUAACUUCGGGAAACCGGAGCUAAUACCGUAUAAUAUAUUGAACCGCAUGGUUCAAUAGUGAAAUACGGUUUUUCUGUCACGUAUAGAUGGAUCCGCGCCGCAUUAGCUAGUUGGUAAGGUAACGGGCUACCAAGGCAACGAUGCGUAGCCGACCUGAGAGGGUGAUAGCCGACACUGGAGCUGGACCGCGGUCAUGGGUACUAAGGGAGGGCGCAGUAGGGAACCGGACGCAGUGGGGGAGAGCAUGACGGAGUAGCGCGGAGUGAGUGAUGACGGCCUUGGGAGCGGAAAGCUCUGUUAUUAGGGGAGAACAAAUGUGUAAGUAAAUAUGGCCGUAUUGACGGUACUUAGUCAGAAAGCCCCGGCUAACUACGUG
rnacentral:rRNA from 1 species